CCUCCAAUCAGUGAAACUGAUCUCCCCGUGAAGAAGCGGGGAUAAGUAUAUUAGACGAGAAGACCCCAUGGAGCUUUAAACCCGACAGCACCCACUUAUUUAACACCUUCUUAUCCGCCUGGCCCCUGUCUGCUCGGUUUUGGGUUGGGGUGACCGCGGAGCAUAAAAUAGCCUCCACGAAAGAAGGGAUGAUUCCCUCAUUUUAGAACUACACUUCCAAAGACUAACAAAUUAAUUUUAAGUGAUCCGAUACCCGUAUUCGAUCAACGAACCAAGUUACCCUGGGGAUAACAGCGCAAUCUACCUCAAGAGCCCCUAUCGACAGGUGGGUUUACGACCUCGAUGUUGGAUCAGGGUAUCCCAGUGGUGCAGCAGCUACCAAAGGUUCGUUUGUUCAACGAUUAAAACCCU
rnacentral:rRNA from 1 species